CCUACGGGUGGCUGCAGUGAGGAAUAUUGGUCAAUGGCCGUAAGGCUGAACCAGCCAAGUCGCGUGAAGGAAGAAGGAUCUAUGGGUCGUAAACCGCUUUUGCACGGGGAUAACACCCUCCACUUGUGGAGGUCUGCAGGUACCGUGCGAAUAAGGGCCGGCUAAUUCCGUGCCAGCAGCCGCGGUAAUACGGAAGGCCCGAGCGUUAUCCGGAUUCAUUGGGCUUAAAGGGAGCGUAGGCGGGCGUUCAAGUCAGCUGUAAAAUCGCGCGGCUCAACCGCGCCCCGCAGUUGAAACUGGACGCCUUGAGUUCACAACAGGCAGGCGGAAUUCGUGGUGUAGCGGUGAAAUGCAUAGAUAUCACGAGGAACCCCGAUUGCGAAGGCAGCCUGCCGGGGUGCGACUGACGCUGAGGCUCGAAGGUGCGGGUAUCAAACAGGAUUAGAUACCCGGGUAGUC
rnacentral:rRNA from 1 species